rnacentral:tRNA from 1 species
GGUGACGUGUCCGAGUGGCCAGGUGGGAGAUUGCAAAUCUUCUUAUGUGAGUUCGAUUCUCACCGUUAUCUCCA